GUUUUUAGCCCAAUUCUAAUUUUCAAAUUUCUUCCAGAAAAGAAACCAUCAUUUCAUCUCACCUCCCACUCUCUACACAAACACACCCCAAAAUCCCCAAUUUUCCCCACACACUGUGUUAUUGAAUCAUGAAUUUGGCGGAAUCGGCCAAGCUGCUGCUGGCGGCCAGCAGCGGUGACACCGUCAAGCUCUUCGACAUCUCGGUGGAGCCUCAAAACCCCUGUGUUCUCACCCACUCUCCAUCGCCAGGCUCACGCGUGAAUUCUGUCAGAUGGAACCACAACAAUUUGGUAUUGGCUAGCGCUGGGGAAGAUGGUAAGGUUUCAUUAUGGCGGAAGAACGGGCAAAGCUUGUGGAUGGUGCCGGCCAAGAAUGCCAGGGGCGAAACAGUUGAGCCUUCAGAAUCUAUAUCAACUAUCAGCUUCAGCAAUAAAGGAUCUCGAUAUCUUUGCUCUGGUGGAACUGGUCAAGUUGUGAGAAUAUGGGAUCUUCAGAACAAACGAUGCGUCAAAUGGUUGAAAGGCCAUACUGAUACAAUAACAGGGGCUAUGUACAACUGCAAAGAUGAGCAUAUAGCUUCUGUAAGUCGUAAAGGAGAUAUUAUACUUCACAACCUUGCUUCUGGCACAAAAGCUGCUGAACUCAGGGACCCUAAUGGACAGGUUCUGGGUUCACUCGAUUAUUCUCGGAUGAGCAGGCACCUUUUGGUUACAGCUGGUGAUGAUGGGUCCAUUCAUAUGUGGGAUACAACUGGUCGCAGUCCAAAGGCUUCUUGGCUGAAGCAGCAUUCAGCACCUACAUCUGCUGUUAGUUUUUCACCAUCCAAUGACAAGAUUAUUGCUAGUGUUGGCCUAGAUAUGAAGUUAUACACAUUUGACUCAGGGUCAAAGAAGCCAUCUUCUUGUAUUCCUUAUGAGGCUCCCUUUUCUUCGCUCGCAUUCACUGAUGACGGAUUAACCUUGGCAGCUGGUACAAGCACUGGGCAGGUUGUAUUCUAUGAUGUUCGUGGGAAACCACAGCCAAUCACAGUUCUUCGCGCAUAUGGGAAUUCUGAGGCUGUCACAAAUCUCUGUUGGCAAAGGUCAAAACCGGUGAUGGUUAAUGAGAGCAACUGCUCAGACGAAACUGUUCUUUUGGCUGGUGACGUGGGGGAUUCUGUUCUUAUGCCCGAUCCACUUCCUUCUCGGGCAUCUUCUAGCCUUUCAAUGCCCUCAAUGGUGUCUGGAACUAGGAAUCCUAUCCGAACUGGGUCUGGAGAUUUAUUUUCUUUUCCUGCAGGAUCUGCAUCAAGCUCUCUUAACUUACCUGUCUCAGAGGAAACACCUCUCCGAAGCAGCUUAUUGACUGGUGGAGCUCUCACGAGAUUGCAUGCACCUCGAAGCUAUAACUUCAAGGAUGAUAUGGAGGUGUUCUCCCCUCUUAUGGAAGUUCAAUCAAUUACACCUUCUGUUGACAAAUUGUGGGAUGAUCGUGAUGUUUCAAAGAAAGAUCUGGAUAGAAAAUCUUCUUUUUUGUUUCCUUCAAGAAGAUUUGGUCUUUCAGAAGAAGGCACUAAUAAUACUCAUCCAAUAUUUGACUGGAAAUCUAACUCAUCAUCAGCUAAACAGUUGAAGCCCUUGCAGGAUGAUACUGCUUCUACAUACACACAGUUGGCAUCUACACCUGCAUCUACCCGUACGGAUGAUGCUUCCUCCAUCACUCCACCUGAAGCUUGGGGUGGCGAGAGAUUAUCAGACAAAUCCAGUCAGCUUCCCCAAUCUAUCAACCUGCCUUCUCGUGUUGCAACGUCUGGACUAUUGUUGUCUGGUCUACAACUACUAGACAGUCUCCCCACAAAUCAAAGUACAAGCAGUUUAAUAUCAAGCCUGAGCCUGAACAGUUUACGAGUCAGAGAAACCCUCAAUCAUGAAGGAUCUAUAGAAGCUGUUUCCUCUCCUUUAGGUACAAAAGGCAUUACAGCACAGGCUAAUCUAGAGAAUCUUGGUCUAACUCUGUCUCAUCCUAGAAGAUUCUCCAGUUAUGCAGAGAGAAUAGGUGCCACACCAUCCUUAAAUGAUACUUCAUCUUUUCCCGGGGGUUCCCCAAAAUCUAAGAAAACAGGAGCAGAAACUAGGGAAGAGCUUCUCAAUAGCUUGUUAUCAAGGUCUGAAAUACCGUCAGCCUCAGGAUCCAGUGCACGUGCAACUAUAAAUGGUGGAAUGACACAUUUGCCAAAAGCUUCCUUACAGUCCGACUCACAGCAGGGAAAUUCUUUCACACUCCAGCUUUUUCAGCGUACACUUGAAGAAACUCUUGCUUCAUUUCAGAAAUCUAUCCAUGAUGACAUGCGUAAUCUUCACUUGGAAAUAUUGAGGCAAUUCCAUAUGCAGGAGAUGGAGAUGUCCAAGUCCAUGGGAAUGAUAUUGGAAAAUCAGGCUGAGAUUGUGAAAGAACUUCAAUCACUUCGAAAGGAAACACAACAGCUUCGUCAGCUGCUCUGAGUAUAUUGUGCCCGACCCUGUUGCUAAGGUUCCUUCUUUUAGGUGCUGUUCGAUUACAGUCAUUCAUCAAGUAUCUGUAAAAAGAAAAUAGGGAAGGUUCUUUCUCAUGCACUGAGUAUAUUGAGCCGUUGGUGAUUGAUGGAUCAGAUUAUCCCAUUCAGUAGUAUAUAUAAGUUGUAUCUUUGUAGUUUUAUCAUCUUUUUUACAUGAAUUAGUUUCAUAGGGAAAUGAUUUGGAGAGAUUGAGAGAUAAGAACAAUGGUCGCAGUUUUUGAGCAACUAGUUCUUGCUUGAUCUUGUAUCUGUAGGAUUUUUUUUUGUAUUAAUAGUCAAUUCUCAACGGUUGACUUUCCAUGGAUGUAGGCCUUACGAUUAAACCACAUAAAAUCCUUGUUUCUACA